UACGUAGGGGGCUAGCGUUGUCCGGAAUCAUUGGGCGUAAAGCGCGUGUAGGCGGUCCGGUAAGUCCGCUGUGAAAGUCGAGGGCUCAACCCUCAAAUGCCGGUGGAUACUGUCGGGCUUGAGUACGGGAGAGGCGAGUGGAAUUCCUGGUGUAGCGGUGAAAUGCGCAGAUAUCAGGAGGAACACCGAUUGCGAAGGCAGCUCGCUGGAACGUAACUGACGCUGAGACGCGAAAGCAUGGGUAGCAAACAGG
rnacentral:rRNA from 1 species